CAGAGAUGCAUAGAAAGAGAGUGAGAGAGACAGACAGAAACACACACACACACACACAUGCAUGCAAGAUUAAGGGGCACCUCUAUGUAUUCCAGUUUUCCUUGAUGGGGUUUAUGUAAACUAGUCCAUAGGCCUAGACUCAGCUUAGAUGUCAAAGUGCGUGGGAGAAGUGGACCCAAAGCAUAGCACAGACUAUACAGGCUGCUGCUACUCUCUGCUCUAUAGGAGUCACCAAGUGUCUUUGAAUAGGAAAGACCAGCAUAUUCUGAAAGUCAGACCUCGUCUAGGAUCUCGGGGGAGAUAAGAUGAAAGAAGAGAAUGGUGAGUUUGGGAUGGGAUGAGGCUUUGGUGGUAAGAGGUGAAAUUUGAGGGUCCUGGGCUUGGGAAAUGCACUCGUAAUAAAAUCACUGAGUCCUCUCCUAAAUGGGGGAGUAAACAAGAAAGCCCCUAUGCUAUGGCACUGAUUUCAACACAUGGUCAAAAGCAAGAGAAACAGAAAUAGAAAACCUUGCUCAGAGCUGUGUAAAAUAAAGUAGGUUCUUUUGCAGAGCAAAAAACCUUCCUGACAUUAUCAGCACUGAAGGACUGGUGGAUCCCUUGUAGCAACAGAGCAGAACGCUUUCUCUUGUCCAGCCUUGCUCAGAUCACACUGGGCUGUUUAUCAUUACUGGAAUAUUGCAGAUUCUCUGAUUCUGUAUAGCAUCAUUGCAGGCACGGAUACCAAAAAUAGAGAAUUAGUUGAGGGAAACCAGUGUUGAAAUGCAGAGUCUAUGAAUUUAUGAGAUCUGACUAUAGGUGCCGGGUCUGAGCAUAGCAACUUCAUCCCCGAAGGCAAAGGCUGCCUGCCUACUGUCAGUGAGGGUGACCUCAGCUUUCCAGCAUUAGCAUCUUGGGUCCGACUAAUUUGCAUAUGAGUGGUAUUAGCAAGGAUGAAAAGAUAAUUCUUAGGAGAAAUGACUGCAGAAAGGAGCAUUUGUCAAAGAGAACAGAUGAUAGGUUGGUCCAAUGCCGCUUCUACUGUAGGGUUCACGUGUUUGUUUUGUUUUAUUAACAUCUAUCUGUUGUUCAGAAUGAUGGAUUUCAUUUUGGCAAUGUUAUAACAUAAGUUGUGUACUUUUCUUAUUUUGCUCCCCCAUCCAUCCCUAUCUCUCUCCCUCUUUCUCCUUCUCUCUUUCUCUAUCUCUUCCGCUGCCUCUCUGCCUCUCUUCCAUUUUAUUGUUAAGUUCGCAUGCUUAAGUGUUGAGACUGGCCAGAAACUGUAGAUCCCAUUUGACUCCUUGACGUCACAGGAGAAAAGAUUCACAUCUGGAAGAUGACCAAGGGAUGCAUUCAGCAUCUCGCCGGCAAAGGGGAGAGAACACUCCCAUGUGGAAGGUAAGCAAUGGCCUCUCACCUAGAGGAGCAAGGGUCUCUGAGGAAUUCACAUGCACAUGUGUGAAUGGGGCACAGUAUAAAUAAGACAGCUCUUCAUGGGAUCGCUGUAACAAGUACGAGAGUGAGAAGAGGAUCCUUUGGUUGAUCUCUGUUAUCUCAAUGCUGUGUGUUUAUAUUGUUCAUUCUUCAUCUCACAGCUCUCAGCAGUUUUGAGAUCAUAAGGUCAAUAUUACUGUGAUGUCCCUCCAAAGUCCAUUAUUCCUGGUUGGCCUCUUUGGGCAAGGAAGGGCUGCUCAGAUGCUCUAUCUGCCAAGGCACACUGCUUGCCCGAUUCAGAGAGAUACUGAGGCCUCCAGUGAGAUUUUCUGAGUCCUCUUGUGUCCAAUGAUUACUCCAGAAGGACAGAAUGAAGUGUUUGGUGCUUUCAUCUUGCCAGGAAUGAGACAGAGUUGGGUAGAGUGGGGUUGGGUUUAUUUUUAGGUUCAACAGUUAACAAGCUCUGGCAUCUUUUUGCUCUGAAUGCUAAAGCCUGCCUUGACACCAAAUCCUGGCCUGAGGACAUUCUCAAAUUUUUUAUGAAGUACUCAAGUUCUCUGGAGGAACAGAUCUUUCCAAACUGCCCUGUGAGCUGGGCAGCAAAGGCCCCUGCUCUGACAGCUUGGCUUGAAGAACCUGCCUAUCACAUAUAUCAAGUUUCAAAAAUUCAGAUAUUUGCUAACUCAUAGAGCAAGUGAGAGUUAUAUGAGGGUCUUAGGAGCUAAGAUGGGACUCUGCCCAAGCCAGAGGGGAUGCAGAGCUGAGAACUCUUACCUUCAAAAAUGGUGGUGUUGGAGGACAGGAAGAUUGGUGAAGAAAAAUAACCACUUUCUUCCUUUGUUUUAGAAGCAUUGGGCAUUUGGAGAGGGGGAAGAUGCUACCUUCAAUAUGACCAAUGGCUCAAUGCAACUUUCCACCUGGAGGGCCUCUCCUACAGGAGAGUGUUCACACCAGGAAGAUGACCAAAAAGCAGAUGCACCUCUAAACAAGAGUGCCUCUCUCACAGGAGAGACGGUGUGCUCACAUGUGGAAUGGAGCUUAUCCAGGUCACUGAGCUAAAGCCUGGUUCAUCCUCUUGCCGUGCCAGCAGAUCUGCACAGGUCAGAGGGGGCUGACCCUUUAACCAUCACAUCUCUCGGAGAAUGUGUCCCAGAGUGGUCAGGAGGAGUACAUUGAAACAAGGUGCAGGCUCACCUGUGCAUUUUCCAGUUCCCACACUGCAAUGUGGAGAAGGUUAGUUCCUGACUCUGAGACUCCAGCCAUGGCCUGAGGCCUUAUGCCAGCAAACUGCCCACCUAGAAUGGUGUGGCUACUCACCCUACCCACCCUUCUGGAUCUGAUCUCUGUAGUUGGUUUUUUAAGGCUUCCCUGGCAAAGCACCACAGCCUGGCUGUCAUACCAACUUCAAUUGCUUUUUCACAAUUCUGGAACUAGGAAUCCAAGAUCAAUAUAUUUGAGGGUUAGUUUUUCCCCCAGGCCUCACUUCCCAGCUUGUAGAUGACUGCCUUAGUCCUUACUUGGUCUCUCUCCAGGCACACAGAUCCUUAGACUCUUUCUUUUCUUAUGAGGACACCUGUUGUAUCAGGUUAGGAACCAGUCUCACCAUUUCAUUAUCUCCAAACACAUUUACCACUUGAGUUACUAGGGUUUCGGUGUCAGUAUAUAAAUUCUGAGGGAAUAUAGUUUAGCUCCUAAUAGUCACUUAUUGACUAUAUGACUGGCAGAAGUUAAACUUUCUGAGCCUCCAUUUUUACAAUUAUGAAAUGGAAAGAGAAAUACCUACCCUACGAGGCUAGUGAGGCCAUUUCAACUUACACUGCUUAUAAAUAAGCCAAAAAUCCUUGAGUCCUCAGGUCACAGCUUGACUCUUGCAAGGUUGCUGAGCAUGCAUAUCAAGUGUAGCUGGGUUACCCAGCCAAUCUACUGAGUCUGUGUGGAUAGACAGAUGCAGGGUAACAUUAAACAACAGCAAGAAAGAAAAGAACAUGGCAUUUUAAGUAAUAGUUUAUGCAUAUUCCUUUUCAGAGAAUCUAUAUGUGGAAUUUCAGUCUGUGGGAAGUACUCUAUACAAAUCCAAAAACGAAAGUUAUAAUAAGUUCAGGUAUUAGAAAAUGAGACAAGGCUGGUUUUCAUUUUGCUGCAGUAUUUUUUUCCCCUUUCAACACUUUAAUUUUAGAGUGAAGCGAUUCAAAUUAUGUUCCCUAAUGGUCUUUGGUGUGCAUUUUACAAAUUGAAGGAAGAACAAAACAGAAGAGAGAAGCCAUUGCUAUAAUGGGUUUCAUUUUUCUUCUUUCUUUUUUAAUCUAAUGUUUUGAAGUGCUUUCUCAUGGGAAUAGAAGUUCCUUCACGAAAGCUGAAAUGAAAGGGAAGAAUUCUCCACACAGAGAGGCUCACAAACACAUUUCCAAUCUCAUCUCCAUGCACAGAAUAGGUUUUUGCUGACCUGCCAUAGGUCUGUGAGCCUCGUGAUGAAGGUUAGCUCAAAGGGAAGGUUUCAUCUCAGGGAAACAGAGGAAGUCUGCUCAGAAAGAACUUGCUCUUCCUUCUUGCUCCUCGACUGGCAGAGCCGAUGAUUCUGUUUUUCCCAGAGGCCUAUAGGGGACAGGGUUGAGAGUAGUAGCUGCUGAGGCUACACCGGAAGCAGAUGUUUGCCCAGAAAGAUGUGUCCUGGGAUGAGCGGGAACAAAGGUGGGAAGGGAGUCUGUGGGCGACAGGCUCAGGGAUAUUUUUUUCUGAUCAGUUGUAGGACAUUUUGAGGACUUCUGACCUGUGUUUGGAGAUCUCUUCCCUUCCUCUUAAGGUUAUUCUGCUGUUCUUCGGCUAACUUCAAGAGUUAGCUUGCUACUACUCUACCUGCUGAGGCUGAGGCCAAGGUCUGGCCCUGGAAGAUGUUAGCACUUAUUCACGGUUCUCCUCAGUUUUGCUCAAAUCCAGAUAAUGUUUCAGAUCCUUUCUAAACCACACGGAGUUUGACAGAUACAGUACAGGAGCCCAGCUGAAUUUAAAGCUUAGAUUAAUGGUAAUGUCUUAGAGUAUGUGAUCAUUUUUAUCACCCCUACCACCGAAUGCUUGACGCUACUAGCAAAGAUCAAAGGUUCAUUUUGCUCAUGGGUUUAGAGGCUUCAUUUCAUCAUGGCAAGCAGCACAGCAGAGCAUCCUUCAUCCUGACAGGCAGGAAGCAGAGCAGUAGUCUGACCAGGGCAAGAUACAGCCCCUCAAGGAAGGCUUCCUCAAGGAAGAUCAACAUGCCACAGUUCCGAUAUUUCCUUGUAGUCAGUUCAAAGUUUAAAUGCAUCAAUGGCUAUUUGUAUGUUUUCAGUCUGUCUAAUAAAGGCCCUAAAUAUUAUGACCCAACUUUGUCUUUUGAGCUUUUUGUGUGGUUUUGUUGUUGUUGUUGUUUCUUUGUUUGUUCUUGUUUUAUUAUUGUUGUUAUUGUUUGUUUGUUGUGGUUUUUGCUAAGUUUUCUUUCCUGUUUGCUUCCCCCCAAAUAAGCUACUAACCCUGGAUUCCCCACAGCAAACUUUGCAACAUGAACCCUAGUCCAAGCAAUUUAAUGUGUCUUCUUUGAAUGCGUUGGUAAAGAAAGAGGAAGUUCAGCAUUGCCAGUAGUGGGUGGCUAAAGCUGGGUCCUGUGGGAGAAAUUCUGAGAAACAAAACCCAUUUGUCCAGACUGUGGGCAGAAACAGCUGGGCUGUUUACAUACCAACUGUGCUAGUUACUAGCUGAGGGCUAUUUGGAGUGUUAAUCCUUUCAUGUCAUGUUCACAGGGAGGAGGCAUGAUCAUCUGGGCAUCUAAAGGAAAGAUCUCAGGUAGAGAGCAGAUGCGGGCAGGUAAGAGCAUCCUGGCAAUAGAAUAUCACCAUGCCCAGGGAACAGGGACAGUGGUAGCUGCUUUGGACACCUUUUCUCCUUUUUAGGGCCCUUCUCUUUGCUACUGUCAGACUCUUGCCAUCUUUAUCCUCGCUGCCCUUUGUUCUACUCAGACUGUAACUUAAACUGGGAAUCAAGACCUCUCGGGAGGUCAUAAUUGAACGUGGGAUCAUGGAAGGCUGGCACAACAUAAAAGAUUUAUGAACGGACAGCUGCCCCAAAUUAAUUCGACAUCAGUAGUGCGUGGUGAAUCCAAAGUGUUUCCGCUGGCGCUCACCUGUGUUACAUCACCUGACAUCCCUGCAGCCUUGGUGCGGAACACAGAGCAUGCGCACUUCACACUGCUCCUGCCCACACAGCAAGCAACUCUAACAAAGGCAAUCAGCCUGAACCACAUCUCUCCAGCUCAAGAGUGCUAUAUGAUGUGUGUUGCAGUAUUUUCACUAUUAACACAAAGUCUCCAGCUCUUAUAAUAAUUCAAUAAUUUAAUUAAGGAAAACAAAACUAUUUUUUAUUGCAAUUCAUCAACGUGUAAGCAUGAAAUUGUUAUAUCACUGAAUUGGGUUAAGGGGUCAGAACAUUAUGAUUUUAAAAAUUGCUGUUUGUGGAGCUGGAGUGUUUGCUAGUUAGGAGUGUUUACUGGCCAUCCGAGCCCUGGUGUUAGACAUCCAGUAAGCUCAUAUCAUGAUUCACAACCAAGUGUAACUCCAGCUUCAGGGAAUAUGAUGCCCUCUUCUUGAUUCUGAGGGUACCUGUACUCACAUGUAAACACAUCUGCACACAGAUACACACAUGUACACAUAAUUUUAAGGAUAAAAUAAAUCUUUAAAAAUGCCUGUUACUGACUAAUGUUUCACUUAAAAAGAUCAUUCAAUGGACUUGGCUGGGAAUGUCUGAAGUGGUCCUAAAGACUUAUGCCUUCUGCACUAUGUAUUUGUGAGGAAUAGUGUCCUCAGCAUUGAUGAUCACUAAAUUCAAGUAUCAGUCAGCUCUGAACAAUGCAGAAAAUGCUCUUUGUCCUGGAGCAUCAAAUACUCAGCCAAGAUUUAGUUCUUUAAGUAAAAAUUAAUAAGCACAUCCAAAUAUUAGUAAUUUCAAAUUGCCAUACUUAAGACAGAUUUCCUGCCAAUUUCAUUAUGUAUUAACAUUGUAUUAAGCUUUGCCCUAAGAAGCAGGCCUGUGAGAGGAAGGGGUCAAUCUAGAGUCCUCUUUGACAAGAGGUGGAAGGAAUGGGCUUUGAUGCCCUCCUCAUCACCUUGUCCCUCACCACCUAUGGCAGGCAGGAGAGCUGGCCCUGAGGUCACGAGAACAGAACUGGCCUCAUCCCUCAGCAGCUGCAACAGUAGGGAGAGUGGACCCUGCGCCUCACCUGGGCAGCACGAUAGAGCUGGCCCUGGAGGUAGGAGAACAGGAGAGUUGUCCUGGCCCCUUGCUGGCUGAGGCAUUGGAUGAGCUAGCUAGGGCAGUGCUGGAGAGCUCUCCCUGGUGACAUGGGGAGUGCAGGAGAGCUGGCAGGCCCAGGUCCAGGGCUGUGAGUUGGCCCACACCAACAUCUACCUCAUUGAUGAACUGCUGGCUCAUGUGAGUGGGCUGUACCUACAGAUCCACAGCUGCCAGAUCUCCAUGACACAGGGCAACAACAGGAUAUUGGGGAGGAGUCCCAGUGAGGAGCCAAUACUAGCAGAAGCCAGAGGCCUUGAACCAGACCAGUGAGCCAUUGCAAUGAACGUUAGCAAGCAAAGAUGUAUGGACAAAAAGAUGCACUGUGGGACACACUGUGACACAUUGCAUCUUCCACAAUGAAAUUUUUUUCACCCUUGUUUUUGGGAGGAGGUUGCCAGGUGGAGGGCAGGUAGGAGGGGGCAGAGAGAUGAUUGCGAUUGGGGUGCAAGAUGUAAAAUUCACAAAGAACCAAUAAAAAGUUUAAAAUAACAAAAAGGGAGAAUGGGCUUUUCUCCUUCGAGUGGCCUGCAGUGACCAGCCUGAUGCUCUCUUGACUCAGAGAACCUCACAAACAUGCAAAUCAUGUGUGCUUAGUGGUAACACUUGUAAAAUUCCCAGGGCUUUUGGGAUUCUGCACAUCUGAAAGUCUACAUGAACAUAUCACUUUAAAGAAGUAAUCUAUGCCAAUCCAGUGGUACCACAGCAGACUUGGUCGGUGUGUCCAGGCCAAAUUGGGGGGGGGGGCAUGAAUGGACAAAAUGUUAGUGGCCCAAAAAGAAUGUGAGUUUUUGCUACAUAGGCUUGAAAAUGGAAGGAGGAACUGAAGGCUUUAGGCAGAUGCUCUGGUCACUGAACACAUCCAAGUGAACAAAGCUCUCAGGGAACAUCACCAAACCUAUGGAGCUCAAGAUCAUACUGACCCACGUAAGACCUAUCCUCUGCCACACUAAGAUGAUCCUCUGAGAAGGAAGACAGAAGGAAAGGAGCCUGCAUCCAAAAACGAGAACCAUGGGAAACUGGCGGAGCAAGAGAAAUGAGGUCCCAGGGCAGGUUGCAGCUCCCUGAAUUAGAAAGAUAUACAAUCAAUCAGACUGUAAGAACUCCAUCCUACUGGAGUGAAAGCUCAAGCAGAAACCUCCCUGAGAGAUGGGCUGUACCUGAACUUGGAAAAACUGAAAUUGGUAAAUGGCUGGGGACUCAGCGGGGACACAUUGUUGAAGAAACAUAAGUCAACAAACCGAUUGAGCUCAAGGUCAGUCGUCAGGCACCCUACACUUUGUGAGUUUGAUUUCCAGAUUCCCCAGCGCAUUGUCACAGUAAAUACUGAAGCAAAACCACUCCAUGCUUUGGUGGAAGGAGGGGAGACAGAACUCUUGAUGUCUGCCAGAGCUGUCUGUUCUUGCCAAGAUCAGCAUUUAGGAGAAUCGAUUUUCCCAAAAGCUAAACGGAUGGGUUUUAUCAGACUGUAACCUAUCUUAGGGAAGGAAAAAAAAAGGACCCUCCCUCAGUCCCAUCUCCUCUAGCCAUCCUACCUCACCUCACAUGAAGAGAGCCUGAGAAGGACUGGUGGGGUUCAUAAUCCAGGGAAACACACUCCCAGAAAGGUUAUAAUAUAACCACGGGAAUACAGAAGAUGCCUUGUCCUGCACCAUCUCACUGUCUUGCUGCUAAAGGUCUGCUUACCAGUUCAGUUCCUCUUCCCUAACAUAAGAGUAGCAAUCAGACACCACAGUGUAUCUGGAAUUAUCAGAUCAGCAAUGUUUCUUGUAACAUUUUAACAGAAACAGUGUAGUUUUGUUGUAUAUUUAUGGAUGCAGUGUGAUGCAUUUCAACUCAAGUAUACAAAUUAGUAGACAAAGGUAAUUGGUAUUUGCAUCACCUCAAGAAUUUAUCAAAUCCCUCUAGAGUUGAAGCGUUUUUGACAAUUACCCUGAGAGAGUUGGGGAAAGUAUAGAAAACCCAAGAGUCGAUGAAUACUGUUAGCAGAGGGAUUCAGGCAGGAGUUCUACUACAGACUCUAACUGAGAGGCCAGAGACCAAACCACUGAUAGAAAUGACAGACAAAGACAGUCUUUACUAGGCUCACUAGUAACUUAGACAUGAUGAAGGAAGACUCCCUAAGCUUAAACGUACAAAAUCAGUAAAUUCCCAAAAUGAAGAAACAGAGAAAAUGUCUGAAAAAAUGAAAGUAGCUGUACAACUACCAAAGUCAUGAAAUGCAUGUGAUGAGAUCUCAGGAGAGAGAACAGGAGGUGGAGAAGCCACUUUGAAAUAGUGGCUAAAGACAUUCCAGCCUAGAAGCCAUCCUUCCAGAAAUCCCACAGAAAACAAAUCAGUGAAACCAAAGAAAGAGAGCGAGAGUUGGGCACACUGACACACAUAUGUAACCCUAGCACUCAGGAAGUUGAAGAGAGGGAUUGCGAAGUUGAAGGAUGCUAUACUUCUCAAUCGCAAAAUACCAGCCUGAAAUACAGAGUGAGGGCCUGUUCCUAAACAAAAACAACAACCAAAAGAAAAAAAAUCAAUAAACUAUACCUCGUCUUACAUACUAGUCAGCUUCCCGUUAGUGUAACAAGAGACCUAAGGUAAUCAAUCGAAAAAGAGGAGGCUGAUUUUACCUCACAGUUGGAAGUUUCUACUCUAUGGCUUUGGAGCAUAUGAAGCAAUCCGUCAUAGAUGGAGCAGGUAUCCAAGGAAGCGUGUGACUCUCAGACAGGCAUGAGGUAAAGACAGAAAGGAAGAGACAAAAGUCCCUUAAAAGCUGUCCCCCGAAGACUAGAAAGCUUCUUAUAAGAUUCCCAUCUCUUAACAUUUCCACUCACUCCCAAUCGCACCAGGCUGAAGACUAAGCCUUUAACACCAUGGCACCCGGGGGAAAGCCCAGACAGUAUAACAGUGUAGCAUUCAAAUUCAAGAAAGUCAAAGCUAAAUAAGUAUCCUGGAAAAGGUCUGUGGGGGAAAACACACCUGUGCUGGUUUGAAUGAGGUGACUCCCAUAGUCUGGGGCAUUUGAGUGUCUGGUCUUUAGUGGGUGCUGCUCUUUGGGUUAGUUUAGGAAGUAGAGCUUUGCUGGAUGAACUGCAUCACUAGAGGUGAGCUUUGAAAGUUUAGUGACUCCUAUCACUUCAAGUCUAUUCUCUGCCUCAUGCUUAAGGCUAGGGGUGUGAGCCUCGAGCUGCGGCUGCAGCCACCGUGCCUGCUGCCAGCCUGCUCCACUCUAACAUUAAGUCUAACCCUUGAGAACUAUGAGCCCUAAUAAACCCUUUCUUCUCUAA